UGCUUCUAAGAUUAGUGGCAAACGGGUGAGUAAUGUAUAGGAAUCUACCUAACAGUAAGGAAUAACCUUGGGAAACCAAAGCUAAUGCCAUAUAUUACCGAUUUAUCGGGAAAGAUUUAUCGCUGUUAGAUGAGCCUGUAUCAGAUUAGCUUGUUGGUGAGGUAAUGGCUCACCAAGGCAAUGAUCUGUAGCUGGUCUGAGAGGAUGAUCAGCCACACUGGAACUGCGACACGGUCCAGACUCC
rnacentral:rRNA from 1 species